AUGCUCGAACAGACUAAGCUUUCACAUGUCUUUAAAGCUAAGUGAAUUAAGACUAAAUAAGUAUUGUGAUGCAGACCUCCAGGCAUUCUCAGAGUAUGCAUCCACUAUGUUUUUGCCUUUGUGCAAGUGCAGUGAGCUGGGACAUUCAGGCACUCCUUGACCUUGUUCCCUGAAUAUUAGACUGACCUGAGAGGCAUCAGAACUGUACAAUCUGGGAGUACUGGAACUGUAUGGUUGGGUGGAAGUUUCAGGGUUGCCUCACUUGGAUUGCAGCCAGAAUGGAAAGUUUUCUGACUCAAUUAGCUCACAGUCCUAUAAAUAAUGGUCCUAAGCAAAGAGACCUUUCAGCUCUCAGGAUGGCAGCAGGCUGUGAUCCUUGAUCUUACCUGGGCUGGAACCAUUAUCUGGCAUCUAGAGAUUCAUCGCUGACAGACAUCAACAAAGCAGAGCCCUCUUUGGUGUACACCCUGAUCAUCCACUAAGAACUGGCAAAAGGGAAGGUUUAACAACUACAAGAACAGUCACAAAAACAAAGGGAAGAAUUGCAAGACCUGAAGUAAGACUGCAUAGUGGUCAGAAGACAUUAGAUCUGCCCGUUCAAGCAAAAGCUUAUCAGUAAACAAAGAUAUAUCAGAUGCUGCAGAGAAUCAAGAAGGAUGGAGAUUAUUGAUGGUCGGAAGUCCUACUUGGAUGGUCUUCUACAACAACGGAAGCACUAAACAUAAUGCUGUAUCUCACUGUGAUUUUACUGCUUUUGGUUAUAUUUU